UCUGAACUUACAACAAUGACACAUUUUUUUCCAAUUGUAUUAGGAGGACGAUCAUUUUCCGUCAUAUCCAUCUGGACAACGAUUCUCCUACACAGAAGGCGAAUACUCGCAAAGAUUCAACACUCAGGAAUCUGUUGACCCUACGUGGUCCAACAUUGGAGCUGGUUUAGGCCACAAUAUGCCUCCACUUCGUGGUCGUGACCACAUGCAAUCGCAAUACCCAACUCAGGAAUCUUUAAUCCCGACAUGGCCUGAUAUGACGCAGCAACCACAAUACUACGGCAGCACUUCCCAACAACCUCGCGAUCAUGUUACCGGGAUAGUUGAAGAAUUCUUCGGAGGUCCUAUUUUCAGCUCAGAUGCCAGUUUGAUUCCCCCAAAUCAGGAAUCUCCAUACGUAUUUCAUACUCCA